ensembl:lncRNA
GAAAAAAGUUUUAAAAUCGAAGGUAAACAAUAUGAUGCAUUAUCAGCCAUUUUGUUGAAUAACAGGAUGUGACGGAGUAAUCCGUGUGUGCUAUACCGCCCCUCCCGACCCGGAGCAGAUUUUUAAAAAGUUUUGCUUUAUUUCUCGACAGAGGUAAUCGAGAAUAUACAGACCCCGCCGCAGCGAAAAGAAGAAGAAGAAGACGACGACGUUAUUUUCGUCAACGCAUACCGGGAGAACUGCAGGAAAAUACCUUUUAAACCAAAAGGUAAACAAUAUGAUGCAAUAUCCGUCAUUUCGAUAAAUAUCAGGAUGUGGCGGAGUAAUCCGAGUGUGCUAUACCACCCCUCCCGACUUGGAGUGGUAUAAAGCGAGCUAAAAAGUUUUUUUUUUUUUUUUUUUUUUUUUUAUUAAAUCUUUCUCUUUUUGUUUUAUUUCUCGGCAGCCGAGAUUGCUGAUAUACCUAUUCAAGCCCCCUCCGCUACAGACAAUCGCGCGGAGGAGCGAGGUAAAUAAAAAGUUUUUUUCAUUCUCGAAAAAUAGGAAAGAGGAGGUUGUUUUCUUAAAUCUCUUCUGUUUUAUUUCUCGGCAGCCGAGAUUGCGGAUUUACCUAACCAAUCCCCCGCCGCUACAGACAAUCGGGCGGAGGAGCGAGAGACCGAUACAGAAAAUCAGACGGAAGAAAAUCAGGCUGAGGAGGAACCGUUCAGAUCGCCUCCUCUCAGGAGAGUGAGAGCUCCUCUCGGAAGACUGAGAG